rnacentral:rRNA from 1 species
CUGCACCAACUGAGGCCUAUUAAGCGUGUUGCUUUUGAAGGGCCUGUAACAGGGAGGCGUUUCUAUGGCUGCCCAGUCCAGGAAAAUGGUGUGAAUUGUGGUGUUACGGAGUGGGUUGAUGGGCCUUGGCCAACUGUUCUUCAGAGAUGUUUGUGCAAGCUAUGGGAGAUGUUCCAUGAGCAGAACUUUGGAAGGGUACAGGACAAGGAGAAGUUUGAGCAGGAGUUGGCAAGGCUUAAGACUGAAAAUGGCAAGCUUUGCAUUGAGUACACCAAGCUUGUUGAUGAUGUAUCCAAGAUGUUUGAUUGGCAGGAUGGUAGGGUGGACAAGAAACAAGUGGAGGAGGAAGAACUUGAGAAGAAGAAGAAGGAGCUAGAGGAGAAAGCCAUGUUGGAGGUGCAGAUGGAAAAGCUCAAACUUGCAAAAGAGCAGAUGUGCAUUUUGCAGAGCGAAGCUGAUAUCAUCAAGAACACUAGGAAGGCUAUGAAGGAUGUUGAAGUUGACAGAGAUGUUCUUAAGAAGGAGAAGGCAAAGCUUGAGCUUGUUGUUGCUGAGCUGCUGAAUGAAGGGUAUGGCAGCAAGGAGAAGUUAGAGCAAAUCAAGGUCAUCCUUGAGUCUUGA